rnacentral:rRNA from 1 species
AUGUGGAGGUUAACUGGAAUAUAUGGUGAACCAAGUUGGGAUAAGAAAAACCUUACGUAUCAAUUACUACGGGAUCUUCAUGCCCAAUCCAGGUUGCCGUGGAUAGUAAUUGGCGACUUUAACGAGAUUCUAUUCUCAUCAGAGAAAGAUGGUGGGGCCCCUCGACAUCAAUCCCGUCUACAAGCUUUUCAGGACGCCUUGUCUGACUGCUCCCUUGAAGACUUGGGUUAUGAGGGAGACAUAUUCACGUGGUUCCAUGGAGGGUUGCGGGAAAGACUCGAUCGGGCAGUGACAAAUGAUGAAUGGAUGCAGCUCCAUCCUUUGGCUGGUCUUUGCAACAUGGAAUUAGGAAAAUCAGAUCACCAACCGAUCUACCUGGAUACAUAUCACCUCGCUGGAAUUGCAGAACAAAGACCUUUCUAUGUGAGGAAAUUUGAGGCGAGGUGGCUGGCAUAG